GCUGGCGUAGCUCAGCAGGUAGAGCAGCGCUUUCGUAAAGCGCGGGUCGGAGGUUCGAUUCCUCUCGCCAGCU
rnacentral:tRNA from 1 species